GCUCUAAAUUUCGUGUCGUCGUGUUCAGUGUGCGUACCGGUCGCAAAUCACGUGGUAGAUUCGUAAAGUACGAGUGUACGGCAAAUACCGAGUUUUUCCGACGAGCAUUUUGAUGCCGGGUUUUCGUCGAGGAAACGCAAAGAAAUACUGAUUAUUCGCCGAAAAUUUACAUAAUUGAGCGCCUUAGAAAAAUAAAUCGAGGUAGGUAAAGCUUUACUGUUUUUAACUUACCUUGUAUUUUGUUAUUUGUUGUGAUUUUGCAGCCGUUGUGCUCGCACUGAUUAUUUAUCAAUUAUGAGGCGUUUAAUAUAUUUAUAUAUCGUGAAAGCCUCAAAACCCAACGCUAUCAAAAUGCUCGAUUUUUAUAUACUCAAACUGAAACGGAGCCAUUGUGCUCGCACUGAUUAUAGGGACCUUUAAUAGCUAACAGGACGGCGACGGCUAUUUAUACAAUGAAAUUUAUGACAGUGUAGAAAGAAAAUGCAUAAUUAAAGUCCCAUGGGAGUUUUAGACGUCGUCCUUGCUCUGUUUACAACAGCAAACCAAAGCUUUUCACGUUUUGUAUACAACGUCUGCCUUUCAAGCAUCGAGAAGUCGUCCUCGGCAAAUUGGCUUAGUAGAAGCCUUCUCACCUAUAAACCUCUGUCUUAACCUUCUUAAACUGCAAUAAAUUCAUACAACG